rnacentral:rRNA from 1 species
CCUACGGGUGGCAGCAGUGGGGAAUAUUGGGCAAUGGACGCAAGUCUGACCCAGCGACGCCGCGUGAGGGAUGAAGGCCUUCGGGUUGUAAACCUCUUUCAGUAGGGAAGAAGCGAAAGUGACGGUACCUACAAAAGAAGCACCGGCUAACUAUGUGCCAGCAGCCGCGGUAAUACAUAGGGUGCAAGCGUUGUCCGGAUUUAUUGGGCGUAAAGAACUCGUAGGUGGUUUGUUACGUCGGAUGUGAAACUCUGGGGCUCAACCCCAGACCUGCAUCCGAUACGGGCAGACUAGAGUGUGGUAGGGGAGACUGGAAUUCCUGGUGUAGCGGUGGAAUGCGCAGAUAUCAGGAGGAACACCAAUGGCGAAGGCAGGUCUCUGGGCCAUUACUGACACUGAGGAGUGAAAGUGUGGGGAGCGAACAGGAUUAGAUACCCUUGUAGUC